rnacentral:rRNA from 1 species
AUUAAACGCUGGCGGCAUGCCUUACACAUGCAAGUCGAACGGCAGCACGGGGGCAACCUUGGUGGCGAGUGGCGAACGGGUGAGUAAAGCAUCGGAACGUGCCCUGGAGUGGGGGAUAACGUAGCGAAAGUUACGCUAAUACCGCAUAUUCUGUGAGCAGGAAAGCAGGGGAUCGCAAGACCUUGCGCUCUGGGAGCGGCCGAUGUCGGAUUAGCUAGUUGGUGGGUAAAGGCCUACCAAGGCGACGAUCCGUAGCGGGUCUGAGAGGAUGAUCCGCCACACUGGGACUGAGACACGGCCCAGACUCCUACGGGAGGCAGCAGUGGGGAAUUUUGGACAAAUGGGCGAAAGCCUGAUCCAGCCAUGCCGCGUGAGUGAAGAAGGCCUC